UUUAAUCUAUUUGAUGGACUUGAGUGUGUCUUCAUGUAGGUAACGAGAGCAUCAAAGAGGUACAGAUCCAAUUUAAAUGUACCUUCAUAACCCGUGAAAGUAUCUCAUCUUCUCAGCAAGUUAGAAGGAAGAGCUGAAAUUCCAGAAAUUCACUUGCUUCUUCGAUUCCUGGUAAUGAAAGGACUGCACCUACAUAUAUAUGUUACUUAUGCUGGACUGAAAAGGAAUGGAAAGAGCUGCAGACUGAGGUGGGUGAAUUAUCUGAGGCCAGACCUUAAGAGGGGGUAGAUAACUCAUGAAGAGAGCAUAAUUCUAGAGCUACAUGCUGGGUGGGGGAACAGGAAAUUAAAGAAUGAGGCUUUUGAGUAGAACAUGAUUAGAUAUUUAAAACCUUAAAGGUCUGGUUCCAUCUCCUUUAUUAGUAUUCAGGUAAAUAGUCUUUGUGAUAGACUAUUCUAUCUAUAUAUUCUUUCUAGUGUCUGUUGAUUGCUUUCUUUUGUUUGUCAUUUUCAUGUUUGGUUUUAUGUUUCUUCAAGGUUGGCUGUCAAUACAAUUCUGUCAAGUCCAUCUAUUAAUUUACUGUUUUGAUAUUCAUGGAAAUAUGCACAAGUAUAGCUUUCAGAUUAUCUUUGUAGUGAAAUUAGGAUCUGUGUUAUUUUGUUCUUUUCAAGAAGCCAUUAGAGCAAUUGAUUCAUUGCUAAAUUCAUGUUGCUAUUUUGCUUUCUGUUAUCCAAAGAGGGCAUGCCCAACCAUCUCAGAUCCAGUGCUAUAUAUUGGUAGGGAUUGCUUCUGCUGUGGCAGGGUUGAGUGCACCAUAUGAGAAGGCUUCUCAUGUACAUGAAAGGCCAGACGUGAAUUGGCUAUGGGCAGCUGGGUGUCAUCCAUUUGGACCAUUUUGUAAUACUUCUCAAGUUAUCCUUUUUAAUUGAUUUGGACGUAUUAUAUCAACUGAAUAUGCAGAGGGCCCAUAAAGACUCCAGAAUUUGCUGGGAUAUUCUGUGCAAUAGUCAUAAGUCGAAACGAUUAAAGAGAGCCAAAUCUGAGAAAUCAUCACUUCUGGAACAAGCUGAGGAACUCGCAGAUCAAUUAAUUGCCAGUGAAAUAUCCUCAUUUUGUCAAAGUGAUGCUUCCAUCAGAUGAAAUAUCCUCAUUUUGUCAACGUGAUGCUUCCAUCAGAUGUUGUUGUAGGCUUCUGGCUUCAACACGUCCAUGUGCUUAGAGAAGGGUAAAUUCAAACUUGUAUUGCAUUUCAGUUGCUCAUUGUUCUACAUUUAUUGGUAACUGAAAACCUAUAAAAAUUGAAUAUGAAUUUCAGUUUAUUGAAUAUGAACUUGUACUAUAUAGGAUCUUUUUAUCUGAUAAUUCAUGUUGGCUACUUUUUCCCAACAUUACUAUCAAAGAGCUUGAUUACUACA